GUCGGGGGCCUCCUGCAGCCCGGGGCUGUACCUCUCCCGUCCGGCGCCGCUGGUGAACGUUGCGGCAUACUGUAGUUUGCUGACAUGACUCUGAGCAACUGAUCUGUCUUUCCUGUGCCUCAAUUUCCCAGUCUGAGGAAGCAGAAGGAAUUAUACAGCCCAAAGGUGCUUUGAAAUCUGUGAUGAACAAACAUGGUGACUGAGGUAAUUAUCACCGUCACUGAUGGGUGCAACGUGAAAAGUCAAAUCUUAGAGCUGAUGCCAUGUAGUCAGCAGGGAUGGCUGCAGCCAAGUCUGAGGACCAAUUCUGAGAUCUCUUUGAUGAGGAUGGACUUCAAGGGCUGCAAGUAGAAGCUGGGCUACAGGUUGGGAACUUCCUGCCAUAUAUAUUUAAAAAGAAGCACAAAUGCAUCCUGCUUUGUUUGUUUGUUUCACCUUGUCUACCCCUUUCACUUGGCCAUCACAGUAUUUGCAUAUCCGCCUCUGGAGGAUAUUCUUCUAGCAGUAGCAUCUGGGCCUCAUGAUGAGUUCUACAGGCAUUGGAGAGAGGAGAUAACUGAAGGAGAAAGAAGAGGAAAAAAACCUCUGCAGCUUUGAUGUGGUUAACAUUGAUACACUGGUUUAAAGAAGGAUUCCAGGAUUUCAUAAAUAAGCUUUAUCAGAAAUAAACUGUUUAACACAGUGGAAAGAUAUUACUACUGAUUAUAUUUUACUGUUAAAAGUAUUUAACUAUUAAGUGUGUUUUUCAAAAUAAUCUCCUUCAUCGUGUCAGUACAGAAAGGGAGUUAAGUUUUUGCGUUGUAUUUUAACAUGAGUAAGAAGCAAAGCAUUUAAUUAAAGAUUCACAACUUGUGCAUGUAAUUUUAGGUUAAAAAACAAGUGUUUUUGUCAAGCAGCAAUUUAAUGUCUGCAAGUGUCUAUGCCAUAGGAAUAUGUCUAAACCGAGCAUUUAAUGGUGCUACCAGAAUCACACAGUUCAAAUAUAAACAACAUACUACCAACAAGCAAUGGCUUUGACAAAAAUUGUGGUACUGGAGACAGACUUUCUAGAAAUGGUUGAGACAAAAAGAUAAUAAAAUAACUAGAGCAAGGCCAUUUCUAGUAAGACUCUAAAAGCUCCAGAGAAAGCCAUGGAGACUUUAAAGGAAUACUGUGGGGUGGUUUGUUGUGCAAAAAUAAUUAUAAAAGCACUAAAGAUUGUUUAAAACAAAAGAAACUCAGCAAAUUUAAAGUGUCAAAUCAGUAUAUUUUGUUCUUAACAUUGCAAGAAAUUGUCAGAGUGAUUAAAGCUAGACAUGGCUCCACUGUGUGUAGAUUCCUACAAAAGCAAAGCUCAACAGAUACCGUGGUCUGCAUUUUAAUGUCUAAUGUCUUUAAAGUACUCCUUGUGAUGCCAUCACAGUAAUUAGAAGUUACAGAUAAUGCCGCCAUUUUUGUUGAUAAAUUUCCAGAGGGAAGUUUUAAUAAAGCCACUGGAAGGAGACAGAACAAAGAUCAACCUUAGGAUAAAUGCUCUCUUAUGGGACUGAAACUAAUUAUAGUGACCAUAAGGAGAACCUAGAGGCCACUCUUCCAGUUUAGGCAGAUCAGUUGUACAGAAACCAGCGACAGCUGUUGUCAUCACAAAGGUCUCAGGUAAAGCCAAGAGAUGUGCUGGGUCUCAGUUAUGGCAGAUAUGUUUGCCAGAACCUGUGCAGAACACAUAGCAUGAAGCAUGAGUGAAGUUAAUCUGACCUUGCUAGUAUUGCUAAAAUGCAUUUCAAAAGUGAGAGUAGAGUUACAGAUAGAUAGGGACAUGCAUACACAUGAACACACACACACACAGAGUUCAUAGAUUGGUGGAAACAAAGAUUUGUUUGGGGAUUUCAUCCCCACUUCAGUACCACUGGCCUGUUCUUGAUGAGUUAAUGUUUGUUGUCAAUAUGUCUUACAAGAAAAAGUAAAUAGAAAGCUCAUGAACCAUGAGGAAAGUGUGUCUGUGACUUCAAAGUAAAAGAGGUCAGUCAAUACAUUUUACCAAGGUCUUUGUGUUAUUUGCAAAGAAUGUAAUAGUUGUUUAGGAUGUUUUGAUCGAUACGUUUGACAGACUGAGCAUUUCAAAAUAAUAUCAGCAGUCUAGAAGUCUCCAAAAGGAUUUCUGGGCCUUUUCUUUUACAUGACCUUAGGCUCUAAUGUCCUUCCUGAAUGUAACAAAGGAUUUCACUAUUUCUAUAGUGAUAGCUGUCUUGUAUCCACAUUCCUUUGAGAAUUUCAUACUCAGCAGUAUGAUUCCUUUCUGCUCAAGUCCAUGAGGAUUGUUAUGUAUUAGUUUUAUAUUACCCACGGGUAUGAUUAGUACCUUGCAGAAAUACAGACACUCUACCAAAGAAACUAUGUAUUAAAUGACUUCAACUGUAGCACAAAAAAAAAGGGGGAAAAUAACUGUCAGAAAAAACCCUCAUGGAACUUUGAGCUACACUUGGUUUUUUUCUCUUUUUUCUUCAUAUAUACUUCAUUUCCCCCCCUAUAUUUCUGCACGCAUACAGGAACAUAUAUUCACAUGGACAUUCUUUUAAAUUCUUUCUUCCUGUCUUUUUUAAAUCUAAAAUGUUCCUGCUUAUCCAAACAAUAUUAUAUAUUCUGAAUAUUAGAAUAUUAGAUAUUCUGAGUUUGUCCCUGUAACUGAAUGUAUAUAAAAAAAUAUACAUAUGCAUAAAUACAUAUACAUUAAUAGCUUAAUCAAAUGAUAUACCAUUUCAGUGCCAUUUCAGGUAUCUUAAACUAUCUUGCCACUCCAGAGGGUAUGGUUUUCUCUUAAAGCCUGUGUCAGCAAGAUGCCAUGCAAGCUAAUAGGUUUCUUAAAUAUACUAGAAUGUCUAAAAAGGAUGAGACAGAUAUCGUUGUUUUUUCUAAAGUUCCUUUGUUUCUUCUAAACUUCUAAAAUUCCAUGAACCUUCGGGCAGCAGAACAGUUGUGAUCAUAUUAAAAAAAAAAUCCUAUUCUUUAUUUCAUUUUACCAAUUUAAGCACCUAAGAAUUAGAUGUCUGAAUCUUAGUUAGGCACUUCAUAAUUCCUUAUAGGCAAUGAAGAAAGCAGGCAUCUCCUGGGAGAGACUCUUUUAAUCUAUUAUAGGUAAAUAAAAUGAGAUGAGCUGUAUUCUGAAGGUGUCUAUUUCUAUUGACUACACAGAGAGUUUAAGAUAACUACCUCAGGCUUAAAUAGAUGAUUUUAUACUUCUAAAUUAUGACAGAUUAAAUUUUUUCUUUGCUUACUUUCUCCUUUUCCCAGAGAAAAGUUUGCACUGCAUGGAUGCAGAACUAUCAAGGUUACCUAGGUUUCUCUUCACAGGUCAAUAGGAGUUUUCUGCUCCAAAGAAGUAAAAGAUACUGAGGCAUGGUUUAAAAUAUCCACAACUUGCAAGAUUUCUUUCCCAUAUUGUUUCUGCAGAGAAAAGUUCAGGCUGAAAUAAAAUUUCUAAAAAAAUUUAAAAGUUGUGAUUUUAAUGAAUAUACCAAGGUUGGAUUGUUUUUCAGACACACAAUUAUCCAUAAUAUUAAAACAUCAAGCUUGCUCACAAAGCAACACUAGAAAAAUUUCCUUUUUCUUAUUUUAUGUCCUGUCCUACUCUGUUUUCAAUAAAGUGGAAAGUACAUACCUCUUGUAUCCAGAAAUUUGUAGAACUACAAAUUAAAAAAAACACCACCACAAAACUAUUAUACCUUCCAUUGGUUUUCUUCAUGAAUAACCACAGUGGUA